rnacentral:rRNA from 1 species
UACAGAGGGUGCGAGCGUUGUCCGGAAUCACUGGGCGUAAAGGGCGCGUAGGCGGUCUCUUAAGCGUGUGGUGAAAGCCCGGGGCUCAACUCCGGGUCGGCCGUGCGAACUGGGGGACUGGAGCUUGUCAGAGGCAGGCGGAAUUCCGGGUGUAGCGGGGGAAUGCGUAGAGAUCCGGAAGAACACCGGUGGCGAAGGCGGCAUCCUGGACCAACACUGACACUGAGGAGCGAAAGCCAGGGGAGCAAACGGG